rnacentral:rRNA from 1 species
UACGUAGGGUGCAAGCGUUGUCCGGAAUUAUUGGGCGUAAAGAGCUUGUAGGCGGUUUGUCGCGUCUGCUGUGAAAUUUCGGGGCUCAACCCCGAACUUGCAGUGGGUACGGGCAGACUAGAGUGUGGUAGGGGAGACUGGAAUUCCUGGUGUAGCGGUGAAAUGCGCAGAUAUCAGGAGGAACACCGAUGGCGAAGGCAGGUCUCUGGGCCAUAACUGACGCUGAGAAGCGAAAGCAUGGGGAACGAACAGG